UAAUAAGGAAGGUAAGAGCAUAAAUGGCAAGAUAUGCUUGAACAAGUUUGUCUCGAACUACAAGAGGAAACAGUGAAAGCAAUGCAUAGUGUAGAAAAUGUAUAAAUAAUGAAGGUUCAUCCAGAGCCAACAUGGUCGCAGGAAGAAGAGGCAGAAGGACAGACUUCUCAUGCACUUGAAAUGAGAACAGGUAGAAUGAGAAAGAACUACAUAAAAGGCCAUAUAGAAACCCCCG
rnacentral:misc_RNA from 1 species